rnacentral:rRNA from 1 species
GAUGAACGCUAGCGGCAGGCCUAAUACAUGCAAGUCGAACGGUGUCUUCGGACAUAGUGGCGCACGGGUGCGUAACACGUAUGCAACCUACCUUACAUUGGGGGAUAGCCUUUCGAAAGGGAGAUUAAUACCGCAUAAGACAGUAGCUGGGCAUCCAGCAGCCGUUAAAGAUUUAUCGAUGUAAGCUGGGCAUGCGUCCAAUUAGCUAGUUGGUGAGGUAACGGCUCACCAAGGCAAUGAUUGGUAGGGGAACUGAGAGGUCAAUCCCCCACACUGGAACUGAGAUACGGGCCAGACUCCUACGGGAGGCAGCAGUAGGGAAUAUUGGGCAAUGGACGCAAGUCUGACCCAGCCAUGCCGCGUGCAGGAUGAAGGCGUUAUGCGUUGUAAACUGCUUUUAUACAGGAAGAAACGACUCUUGCGAGAGGCAUUGACGGUACUGUAUGAAUAAGCACCGGCUAACUCCGUGCCAGCCGCCGCAGUAACAC